UUGAUCCUGGCUCAGAAUCAACGCUGGCGGCGUGCCUAACACAUGCAAGUCGAACGCGAAAGGGGCUUCGGCCCUGAGUAGAGUGGCGAACGGGUGAGUUACACGUGGGUGACCUACCUUCGAGUGGGGGAUAACGUCCCGAAAGGGACUCUAAUACCGCAUAACAUCCUGCCUUUGAACAGGCGGUGAUCAAAGCCGGUGAUCGCAAGACCUGGCGUUUGAAGAGGGGCCCGCGUCCGAUUAGCUAGUUGGCGAGGUAACGGCUCACCAAGGCGACGAUCGGUAACCGGCCUGAGAGGUCGGACGGUCACACUGGGACUGAGACACGGCCCAGACUCCUACGGGAGGCUGCAGUGGGGAAUUGUUCACAAUGGGCGCAAGCCUGAUGACGCAACGCCGUGUGGAGGAUGAAGGUCUUCGGAUUGUAAACUCCUGUUGCCCGGGACGAAUAGCUUCGACCUAAUACGUCGAAGUCUGACGGUACCGGGUGAGGAAGCCCUGGCUAACUCUGUGCCAGCAGCCGCGGUAAUAAGGU
rnacentral:rRNA from 1 species